GAUCCUGGCUCAGGAUAAACGCUGGCGGCGCACAUAAGACAUGCAAGUCGAACGGACUUAACCGUUAGUUUACUAAUGGAGCGGUUAGUGGCGGACUGGUGAGUAACACGUAAGCAACCUGCCUAUCAGAGAGGAACAACAGUUAGAAAUGACUGCUAAUACCGCAUAUGCCUUAGCAACACAUGUUGCAAAAGGGAAAGGAGCAAUCCACUGAUAGAUGGGCUUGCGU
rnacentral:rRNA from 1 species